rfam:Chlorocebus sabaeus isolate 1994-021 chromosome 19, whole genome shotgun sequence.
GCGGGGCGCGGUGGCUCAAGCCUGUAAUCCCAGCACUUUGGGAGGCUGAGGCAGGCGGAUCACGAGGUCAGGAGAUCGAGACCAUCCUGGCUAACAUGGUGAAACCCCUUCUCUUAUAAAAAAAAAAAAAAAUACAAAAAACUAGCUGGGNNNNNNNNNNCCCAGCUAGUUUUUUGUAUUUUUUUUUUUUUUUAUAAGAGAAGGGGUUUCACCAUGUUAGCCAGGAUGGUCUCGAUCUCCUGACCUCGUGAUCCGCCUGCCUCAG